rnacentral:lncRNA from 1 species
GAUUCUUCCAUCAAGGCUGGAACACAGGAGCAAAUAGCUUGAACAUACAAGGAUUAUAUUGUUCCUUCUCUUAAAGUUACCUCUGUCAUGCGCGUCCGUGUGAAGAUACCACCAAACAGGCUUUGUAUCUUCAGUUGCUUCAGGCCAUCUGGAUGUAUACGUCAGGUCACAGGGGAUAUGAUGGCUUAGCUUGGGCUCAGAGGCCUGACAACCUCCAGAUUCAGAGUUCUUAACCUCUUUUUCCUGGAAGUUUGCUGAGGAGCCAGAUGCCUUGUGCUGACUUGUCUAUUUUGAAAGAGGCUGCAGAAACACUCGAUUCCACCUCAACCCGGAAUUCAGCUUUCUUAGGAAAGGAAAUAACCCCCGAAGCCUUUGCAACUAAGGACAUGUAUCCUUCAGACAAGUGUUUACUGGGCAACUUCUUCGUGCUGUAAUUGAGUGUGGCCGAUUGCUCACAAAGAUGUUUGCAAAAUCCCUCCUGUCCCCUAACUCACUUCUCCUUGCAGUGUCACUCUGCCAACUUCUCCUGUCGAUUGGUGAAGACUGUUUCUCCUCCCCCUUGAAUAUGGGCUGGGCUUGUAACUUGCUUGACCAAUAGAAUGCAGAGAAAUGAAAUGCAGCCUUCAACAUUCAAGGCUAUGCUCAAGGAGUCUAACCCUGUGGAUAUGCUGUUGUCAAAUGAGGGAGCUUCGAUUAGCCUGUUGAAGACACACAGACGACCCGACAGGCAAUACCAACAUUCAGAUAUGCAAGUUAUGCUGUCUUAGACCAUGCUGCCCAGGUGAACUUUUAGACGACUGCAAUUUGUGAGUGACUCUAGGCAAGACCAGAAGAAACUUCUAGCUAAAUCUAAACCAAAUGCCAACUCAGAAUUGUAAGCAAAUAAAACGGUUGUUGUUUAAAGACACUAACUUUUGGGGUGUUUUGCCACACCUCAAUACAUAACUGUUACACUAAUUAUUUUUCAUUGUGAAAUCUUCAGCGUCUUAUUCUGUAAUCAAACCAGAAUGUCCUUGCCUUCUUAGCACUUUGCCACAGUCCAGUGGGGUGAAUAGACAGCAGCUGCUCAUUUAUGCUCAUGCUCAUGUUCAUAAUUUGCAUUUGGACUAAAAGGAGCUCUGUUCUCCAGGACAGAACUAUUCUAAAGCUCUUCAGGAACAGGAACAGGAGUCCAUCACAGACAGCGAAAUCAAAAGCGCCCUACAUAGAGGCAUCCAGACUGAGAGCUGAAAGGGAUCUGGGAAAUCAUUUAGUCUCACUCCCUCAUUUUCCAUUCAGACCACAGGGAUGAAAGAACUUGCUGAAGUUCUCACAGCUCUGUAGUGGCACAGUCAGAACAAGGAUCCCAAUCUCCUAACUACUAACAUAAAAUGCUUUCAGCAUGCAAGUUGAGCAUACAAUGGGACAGUUUAAAUUUAAAUGGUGUUUUGAGCAAGGGGAGAGUCUAAUUAAUUACUUCAAAGUAUAAUUUUGGAGUCACCAGAAAGGCGUUAAAGACAAAAAAAUGCUUUGGAACCUAGGUGCUUCAUAUCUGAAAUUGGGGCAGGUACAGGUGUAUUCCUACCACUAAAGGGUCAUUAGUUGGUUGGGUAGUCCUUUAGUGUUCUUGGUACUAAGCACAAAACAUGGGUAAGAUGGUUCAAGGCUGGUUGUGGUGGCUCAUGCCUAUAGCCCCAGCAUUUUAGGAGGCCAAGGCUGGAGGAUAGCUUGAGCCCAGGAAUUCGAGACAAGCCUGGGCAAUAUCGCAAGACCUUGUCUCUACAAAUAAUAAUUUCUUAAGAAUUGGCUGGGCAUGGUGGCACACACCUGUAGGCUAUUUGAGAGGUUGAGGUGGGAGGAUUGCUUUAGUGUGGGAGGCUGAGGCUGCAAUGAGGUGAUCACACUAUGGUACUACAGCCUGAGAAACAGUGUAAGAUCCUGCCUCAAAAAAAAAAAGUUUAUGUUCUCAAAGUGCUCAUAAUCUAGUGGUAGUACAGUAUUUGAGAUAUUAGAGCAGUUUCUCCUCCUUUUGCAACUAAGGACAUGUAUCUUUAAAGCAGAAGGAAUGGCAGAGUCGUGUAAUAAACCCUCAAGUACCAUUACUUAGCUUCAACAACUAUCGACACUCUACUGUUCUUGUUUCAUUUAUGCCUCACCUCCUUCCCAUCCCCCACUUGAAUAUUCUCAUCCUUUUUUUUUACAGUUUUUAAGAUAACAAUUACAUAACUGAAAUGCACAAAUCUUAGCUGUACAGUUUUGACAUAUGGAUACACCUGUGUAACCAAUGACUGUAUCACAACAUAGAGCAUUUCAUCUCCCCAGCAAGAUCCAUGUGUCUUUUCCUAGUUAAUGCCUCUUUAUUUCUGAGAUGGUUAUUGCUCUGCUUUUGUUUUUCAUGUUAGGCUAGUCUUGCCUGUUCUAGAAUUUCAUAUAACUGAGAACAUACAGAAUGUACUCACUAGUAGUGUCUGACUUUUUCACAAAGGAUAAUGUCUGUGGUAUUCAUUCAUGCUGUUGUAUGCAUCAGUAGUUUAUUUUCUUUUUACUAUUAAGUAGUGUUCUAAGGACUAUUUUAAUAGCAUCCCACAAAGGGGGUAUGAUAUGUUCUAUUUACAUUAUUAUUUGGUUUGUAAUAUUUUAUAUUUUCUCUUGUGAUUUCUCCUUUCACUCAUGAAUUAUUAUAAUAAAUUUUUUAAAGUGUAUUAUAAAAAAAAAAAAAAAAAA